AUUGAACGCUGGCGGCAGGCCUAACACAUGCAAGUCGAGCGAGCGGCGGACGGGUGAGUAAUGCGUGGGAAAAAGCUGGAUGGAGGGGGAGAACUACUGGAAACGGUAGCUAAUAACGCAUACCAUCAGAGGUGCUCAGAUGGGGGUAGUUAGUAGGUGGGGUAACGGCGCACCUAGGCGACGAUCCCUAGCUGGUCUGAGAGGAUGACCAGCCACACUGGAACUGAGACACGGUCCAGACUCCUACGGGAGGCAGCAGUGGGGAAUAUUGCACAAUGGGCGCAAGCCUGAUGCAGCCAUGCCGCGUGUGUGAAGAAGGCCUUCGGGUUGUAAAGCACUUUCAGCGGGGAGGCGUUACCCGCAGAAGAAGCACCGGCUAACUCCGUGCCAGCAGCCGCGGUAAUUC
rnacentral:rRNA from 1 species